rnacentral:rRNA from 1 species
CAGCCGCCGCGGUAAUACGGAGGGGGCUAGCGUUGUUCGGAAUUACUGGGCGUAAAGCGCACGUAGUCGGCUUUGUAAGUUAGAGGUGAAAGCCUGGGGCUCAACUCCAGAAUUGCCUUUAAGACUGCAUCGCUUGAACGUCGGAGAGGUGAGUGGAAUUCCGAGUGUAGAGGUGAAAUUCGUAGAUAUUCGGAAGAACACCAGUGGCGAAGGCGGCUCACUGGACGACUGUUGACGCUGAGGUGCGAAAGCGUGGGGAGCAAACAGGAUUAGAUACCCCAGUAGUCCCUGUCUCUUAUAC